rnacentral:tRNA from 2 species
GCGCCCGUAGCUCAGUGGAUAGAGUAUCGGCCUCCGAAGCCGAGGGUCGCUGGUUCGAUCCCAGCCGGGCGCGCCA